rnacentral:rRNA from 1 species
GACGAACGCUGGCGGCGUGCUUAACACAUGCAAGUCGAGCGGUAAGGCCCUUUCGGGGUACGACGAGCGGCGAACGGGUAGGAGUAACACGUGGGUGGACCUCGCCCUUACGUCUCUGGGGAGUAAAGACCCGUCGGGAAACGUAGGGUCGUAAUAACCGGAGUAUGACUCCAUAACGCAUGUUGUGGGGUGGAAAGCCUUGUGCGG